GGGAGACCGGAAAGAGCGGGGUGAGUCGGCGGGUGCCCUGGCCUCCUAUCUGUUGGUGCUUCCAGGCCCAAAAGAGCUCUAGGAUGGCGUGCAGUGCGGCGCCCCCCCUUCCGAAAAGGACGGAGCCGACUUCAAAGCGCUUUAACAAAGUCCACCUUCCAACCCCUGGGCGCCUCUCUUUCAGACUCUUGCUUCCCACUUCAGCACUCCCAGAGAAAGGGAAGACCAUGCUGAAGGUCACAGGUAGCAGUCAGGAAUCAAACCCGGAUCUUGCCUCCAAAUCUGCUCUCCUUCAGCACCCUAGUUUUCUCCUCUGAAAUGAGUAGAUAUUGUCAGGUCCCAGCACUCAUUUCAUGGAUUGAGAAAAGUUACUUGCCCAGGGAGGCUUAGGGCCUUGCUCUGGAUUAAAAGGAGAAAAUCUUGCCCCAACCCUGAGAAGCCAGGCUUGCAGAGCCAUUUCCAUCCCCAGAAGG